GUAAUCACCGGCGGCUCUUCCUAUGUUGUGGGUCGUACCUAAAAUAAAGCCCUUCCCUCUCUAACUGACUGAUAACUGUUCGAUUACCUUUUUAAUCAAUUAUCAUUUUAUUAACGUCGCCCUUUUCCCCCCUCACAUCAAGUAAUUCUUCGUGCACAUGCUGUUCGUUGGGGCCACCCGCGUCACUGAAGCAUUUCACUGUUGGAGGCCACGCUCCAGUCGUUCUGGCUGCACCGAACCCGUUCUUCUGUUGAGCGCUCUUCUGUGUCGCUGUACUGCAAAGCCGUGGCAUACUCUUCGGCACUCUGUCACCUUUCCCACCCACAAACUGUCGACCACACGAGGUAGCUUCCCCUUUUCUUCAUCAUUGGUCGGUACGUGGAAUUCUUUGAUCCACUGUCACACUAUUCCGCCGUGCCCACCCCGAGACACUUUGGAACCCCGCACUGCGUCAGUAAUUCACCCACUACUGUUAAUUGCACUUAACUCUGACCAACUAGUGAUCGCCCGAUUGAACAAUGGCCGGUCGUUCCACCGGGCCCACCCCGAGACACAUUGGAACAACGCUUGAUUGUUCUCGAAAUUUCUGUGCUAAUCGAACACUGGGGUAGCCUGACUACCGACUACAACUCGGACUAGGUACGGUGGGGAUUGUCGCUCGCGAUAACUUUGGCCAGUUCGUGAUUACGUCGAUCGAAUAACGGCCCGUCGUUCCGCCGGGUCCAACCCGAGACACUUUGGAACAACGCUUCGAAUGUUCCCGAAACUUUUUGGCCUUCACACUGACCGUCUACUUGGGCGCUUGGCUACCGGCUACACUUCGGAUUACUUGCGGUUACCGGUCGAACCGGCUGUCUUACGAUGAUCUUCGUGCGGGAAAAGUACUGGUCAACGGGGUUGCUACUAAGCACGCGGUCGAUGGGGAUCACGUGUUCUUAGCACUCGAUUUUAUUCUUUUCGGAAUUCUAUUUCCCGGCGCGCGAGGAGUGGACGUGUUGCUCGCUUGAAAUACACACGGGGAUCUGGGUUCGGCUGCCGUGUUCGGUGAAGACUCCAGAGAUAUCAUUUCUCUGCGAUCCUCUCCAUCUGAUGAUCUCUGCUUGGGAACCUUAAACUUGGGAAUGUGUGCAGUGGAGUAUUGGUUUUUGCUGCUACCACAAGCGUGGCUCUGGGUGAAUCUGUGUCACCCUUUCGGGGACCAUUCGUUCUACCGCAAUGUAUUGGGUCUUUGCCUCUUUUCGGUUUUUUUUUUUUUUUGUUUUGUUGUAUUAAACCAAUACUCUACUGUACACAAUCCUCUGUAUUAGUUCCCUUAGUCACGUCAGACAAUUGAAAGUGAACCGUGCGACCAUUCAGUGAUAUGAUACCAGUAUCAAGUUUUUCGAGAAGAGCAGCGACAAAAGUUUCUUCAUGAGCAUACGCCAAGGCAUACGCUUUCGAAAGCAGAAUCAAUUAAAUAUUAUCUCUUACUAAAUUUACAUGCCAUCAAAUUCUCGAUAAUAAAAAUAAUAGAGCUAAUAAACUGUAGAGGAAGAAUGUCGCUGGCGUCGCCGCCGCAACAUCUCUUGCUGGCGGAGAUAGGCAGGGAUAUAAGUGUCAAAGCGAACAAGUAUGCAGUUUGACAGAUAGAUACCCGACAUGUUCCCGAGCGAGAACAAAGGGAACACCAUCGAUAUUCGUCUUCUAUAGUUUAUUAACUCUAUUAUAAAAAUAAAUAUUUGUAAUGCGUUUAUUCACAGAGAACAGACACCCAGGCUAGAACAAAUUUCAAUCAGAAAGUUGUGUAAGGAUUUGAAUCUUCACUUGAAUAAGGUUACAAACCGAUAUACGAUGACACCACUAACGCCGCCAAACACCAUAUUGCUACAGUCAGUGGUCAAUUGAAACAUUUCAAGUGAUGAAUUUAAUUAGUAUGAGAAAUUAACCGAUUGCAGCGCCACGGUAUUGCCACUUGUAUUGCCGAUUUCAAAUGGCCGUUAAAUUCCUUACACAGUUUCGAAACUGGACUUGGAUGUCUGUUCUCUGUGGUUUAUUGUCGAUUGCAAUACCGUUCAAACAACGCAUUCCUACAAACGAUAAACAUGUUCAUUUGGAUCACACUUUGACAGUUCUCUCUGCUCGAUUGGCUUACAAUGGCCGCUUCCGCACAUCUCUAUAAUGUAGGAUUACUAGUCUACAUGCAAUACAAACAUUUUCCGUCCGGUAAAAGGUUCAACUUCUAGCAGCCGAAUAUUAUAACCAAGCAAGUCUUUCAACGUUUGUCAAAUAACCGGGAUGCACGCCUGCAGCUCUUAUGGAGGACCCCAAUCCUUUCGCCACAGUCGAGCCAUUCCUGCCAGCGAUCUGCAGUCAUCCCGGCAGGCAAGUAUAUGUGCAAUAAGAACAUUUUCCCUCCGGUAACUUCAGCUAUUUCCAGCUAUUCAUCGAGCAUCCGCCAGCUUUACCGCCUUCAUUAUGUUCACCAUCACCGUUUGUCAAGUCUCCGAAAUGCACGCCUGCAAGUCAAAUGGAAGCUACUCCUGACAGCGUCUUGCAGCCAACCCGGUCCUGUGUAUUGUCCAUGCAGUUGAAUCCCGGAGUUUUCGACUAGCGAAGUUGGAUUUUUCUCCAAAUCCGUGCGUUGGGCCUAACUUCGGAAGUGGUACGCUGUAAAGCGGACCAGGUUUACUAUACAGCGCACCACUUCCGAAGUUAGGUCCGACGCAUGGAUUUGGAGAAAAAUCCAACUUCGCUAGUCGAAAACUCCGAUGUUCAACUAAAUUGAGAAUAUACGGUAGGUGGGAGGGUCUUUCAACCCGUCCUAGCAGGCAAGUACAGUAAAGCUUCGACAAAUGCUCUGCCUGAUGUUAGUGCAUAUUCUAGCGGCAUGACCCAGAACGACAACCUAGCACUUCCUCCAGUGUCUGUUCAACCACUUCCGGAUUACAGUCAUACCAGCCGUGCUAUCGUAGAAGAACACGCUGUCAACUGCCAUGACGCUACAACAGUCGAUUCCAAUUUGCUGCUGUAUUACCAAAACGUUGGGGGUAUUAACAACCCUCUCGCUAAUUUUCAGCAAGCCUUCCCGCAUAGAAAAAUACAUUAUGCCAUACAGUCCAAACAAUUAAUUACCUCUAUCUGUUAAGAUGACUCUAUAUUUCAUGGCUAAUUUUGUGUUAAACAAUAUGGAGCAUGAGAAUGAUAACAGUAAGAAUGAUCUAUGUCAAAUAACGACAGUAUACUAAGUAUACUAAAGCAUCCAUAAUUUGUUAAAUGGUAUGGAAUGCGAACUUGCAUGAAAUGGUGACAAUGUAUCACCACCUUCUAUCAGAUGGUAAGUUUUUGUGUUUGCGCAACCCACUAGCACCUACACAUCACACUGUGUAUCACGUUUUUUCAACAGUAUUGAGUUGUCCAAAAAAUGUCUCAUGAAACCUACUGCAAGCCUAUCCAUAUACGUGAGAACAAAAGAUGUUUACAAAGUUCUUACAGAUAGAUUAACACGGGAAAUCUGAACACAAACCACUACCACACAGGCAUUUGGAUUGGUCAAUGGCAUACAGUUUGGCACAUUUGUAUUUGUAAACAACGAAAAUGCAACGCGUUCGCUGCCAGCAGUGCUUGUAUUUUUUUUAUUCCUCGGAAUUGCGGAUCUUCGUCAUUUUGCGGAUCUUCCCCGGCAACAUAUUCCAGCGCCCAAGGCCGACAAGCUGGUCAAAAAACUCCCCGCCGUGUCUUCGAAGAGAAUGGAAUCGUAGAUGGAAACUUUCACGAAAUCAAAGUUCGGAAUGCAAAAAAACACGCUGGAGGAAUUCUGGAUCCGGCACAUUACAAGGUCAUGCAUUCCGGUUGCUCGCAUAGGUAGGACACCAGCGGGUUUUGUCUUCAUGAGUGGUUCACCGGAUCUGAACGGGCUAGGCAGCACCAUCAGCCAGGGAAUGUAGAAGAAGUGCACAUCGGCAGAUCCUCCGGCAGAACAGUCAAAAAGCAGAUGCGAGAAAUCCGUGGAAACUGGGUACCCAAGUAACACAUUUUGUUAUAUAAAUGUAUAAAAUACACGCUUCAUACAAAUCCCAAUGUUAGGUCACGAAUACGAAAAACCAAAAUUCAUACACUUAUAUCACCGAAAAAGCGCAAAAAAUGGCGGAUUAUACAACAUCUUUGAUGUUUUAAAAGAUGUUUUUCAAUA